AAUAUAGAGUCUGACAAAGGAUUUUGUACUGUUUCCAACAGUAAGAGGCUCCAUGGGAGGAGGUAGUUUGGUGACUUCAAAAACUGCAAUUUAGGAGAUAUUUCAAUGAUUUGGAAAACUGAGAUGGGAUAUUUUAAAAUUAGAACUUUCCUGGAAAACCUAGAAUGGUCUCCACCAUACUCUUUGAUGACUCACACUGUACUAGAAUUAUGGUGGACACAAAAGUAUAAGGCAUGCGAUUUUUGAAGUCGCCCAUGCUACUGGGGAGUUUACAGUAUUAUUGGGAAGAUAAGACUUUCAUAAAGAAAAUAAUUAUAGGGAUUUUAAUAAACAACACUAAAGAAAAUAAAAUCCUAUAAUAAUUUUCACAACAGGAUGUGCCACUGUUUUGCAUAUAGUAUUUCAGAUCCUCACCAACCAUUUGAUGGGAUCUUAUCAUCUCCAUGUUGGAAUGAGAAAAUGAAGCUUGGAGAAGCUGAGUGAAAGGCCAAGGCCACACAGUUGGUAAUUUGUGGCGGGGGGAUUUGAACCCACAUUCUGUCAGGCUCCAAAGGCUGUAUUCUUUCCAUUCUGGUACCCAUCCAUCCUUUCUUAUUCUGUACAUAGCAGAUCUGCAAAGUGAUGGUAAACUUACUAUUGUUCCUAAUUUAAAACAUCUGUAUAAAGAAUCAAGAGUGAUGGAAGUAUAAGGUUUUUCCCUCUUUUCAAAAUUAUCUUUAAAUCUGCUAUAAUAUUUUACAUGUAAAAGAAGGAAACAGGGACACUAAAGACAGAAUAUGUUAUGUUUGAACCACCCACUACUUUGCUGGCUCUCAUUUAAUUACUUUGUUUCUUUUCUCUUUCAGGUGAUUACAUGGAACUAAAAAGAUGAAUAAAAAUAAACUGAUUCAUGAUUUCCUGGAAGUAGUUUCAAGAGGUGAUGUGAAACUCAUCUGUGACCAUAUUAGUAAAGUCCAUUCCACCCUCGGAAACCUUAACUUUCAGCAUCCAAAGACUGGGAAUACACCUCUCAUUACUGCAGCAGCAGAAAAUCUAACAGAGGUUGUUGGAUUUCUUCUGGAAAAGGGAGCAGAUAUCACCCUUUGCAAUUACAGCAAUAAAACCGCAGUCCAUGUGGCUAAAAGUGAUGUUCAGAGGCAACUCCUGGCCAUGAGUGGAAUCCAGGCUCCCCAAAUGCAACUUCUACGAAGUUCGUGGCAAGGCGAUCUUGAACAACUUCAGCACUUGCUGGUCAGUUAAACUGAUGUUUGCUUCUGCCUUUGGGUGGGUGAGUGGGUGGGGGUGGGGUGAGAAGGGCACAGACUACAUACAACUCCUUUAAAGAAAAAGAAGUUCUUUUCCAGAGCAGUCCAAGAAAGUUUCAGGCAGGAAAUCUGAGAGAAAAAAGGGUCAAAUGGGAGAGUGGGGUGGAAAACAAGAUAAUAAAAGAACAUAGCAGCAGCCUAUUUACA
rnacentral:lncRNA from 1 species